UAGUUAACUAUUUAUGUUAUCAAUAUAUUUGACUUACAUAUAAUAUCUUACUUUGGUGGUCAACAGAGACCAUUGGAUGCUAGCAAUUAUUGAUGUAUUGCGUGAAACAUGUUAUUGGCUUGACUCAAUUGGAUUACCCCCGCCUAAUAAAAUUAAAUCUCUAAUGGCAAUGUAAGUUAAAUAAUAUUAUGGUUUAGUCUAAUUUAAUUUUUAUUUUUUAAAUUAUUUUAAUAUUUCUUUUGUUUAUUAGGACUUUUGAUUACUACAAUGCUUCCAGUAAUAGGCAGCCAAAAAAGUCUGGCAUUACAUGGAAAUCUAUAAAAUGUCCUCAACAAAUAUCGGAUUUUGAGUGUGGAUAUUAUGUAAUGAGAUACAUGCGUGAAUUUUGCAUGAAUUCUAGACCUAUCAAUUGGCUAACCACUCAAUGGAAUGGGAAAAAAACUUAUACAAAACAAGAAAUUGAUGAAAUUCGUUUGGAAUGGGCUGACCAAUUUUUAGAAGAAAUUACAGAAGAUGGAGUGCUUUAAUUGAGUGAUCACAAUAAAAGAAACAUUGUUAUUGUGUUAUGCAAACCUUUCAGUUUAUUAAUUUGUUUUAAGGUAG